ACCUUCUCAUGAGCUCCUCUGAAUCUCACCCAUGAUUCUGAAUGGAUUCGCACGAGAAGCAGAGUCAAUGCACAGUUUGAACAAGCUCUGCAGGCCCUACUCGCAUUAGGGAAACUGUCUGUCUGUUGUGCAACAGUU